UGCUCCCUACGGGGCGCAGCAGUAGGGAAUCUUCCACAAUAGACGAAAGUCUGAUGGAGCAACACCGCGUGAGUGAAGAAGGGUUUCGGCUCGUAAAGCUCUGUUUGUAGUGAAGAAAGAUUGAGGUAGUAACUGGCCUUUAUUUUACGGUAAUUACUUUGAAAGUCACUGCUAACUACGUGCCAGCAGCCGCGGUAAUACGUAGGUGGCAAGCGUUUUCCGGAUUUAUUGGGCGUAAAGCGAGUGCAGGCGGUUUAA
rnacentral:rRNA from 1 species